GACCGUCGAUGCGGAAGGCUCGGUCAGGGGAGUGUUUCGCGGAGGUCUAUUUUACGGUUUGUGUAUUGAACCAAAACCUGAAUAGGCUAUGCCGAAAGAAAAAUACGCACA
rnacentral:sRNA from 1 species